GAUUGCUCCAAUGGCCUAGUGGUUAGAGCAUCCACCUCGGAUGUGGGAGGUCGAGGGUUUGAUCCCUGGUUGAGUCA